ACAAAUCAAUUUGCACAUAGUAAUGGCAAUCACCCCAACAAGAUAAGAGCCGGAUUUCAUCACCGGACUCUUGCCCAACUUAGGUGAACUCAAUCUCACAUAGUGUCAUCUUUAAUUAAAAUCAAUUAGACGUUGGCCCCUAGGGACAUUCGAGCUCAAUAGGACGAAGAUCACCGAAGGUUGCACCAAUUUCGCUCUGUGGCUUAGUUGAUGUCUAGGCAAGCUUUGUCCCUAUAAGGGAGACAGUUCAUCUGUUCAAGGCAAGUGGGUUUUAAGUAGGACCUUUGCGAUUUGCGAACGCAUCGUGACCCCUCCACUUACCUGGGAGCUUACCUGGUCAACUCGGUUCAUUAGACCGGAUUGGAGGCUUAGGUGCCCUCUUCAAACCAGUUAGGAGCUGUCUAGUGAUUUUAGGACAAAUCAAGGACUGAUGUGUUUUUCUUUUAUUGCAUGCUUGACUGAUCGAGUAC
rnacentral:lncRNA from 1 species